UUUAAAGUCAUUCAUAUCGGACAAAAACGUAUAAAUGUUUAUCUUCAUGGAACUAAUGAGAUUUGCAUUCUCGACUACAUCAUUGGCUUAGCGCCAAAAAUAAAGUUAAGCUCCAAUUGGACGCUUACUUUCCGUUCAUCUGUCUCUGUCCGCCCGCAGAUCGUAAUGUUUAAUUUAUGGGUUUUCUGUCAAAAGUUCGUGUGCUGUAUUGGGUAUGAGUCGCAAGCAAUCACCUGGGGCACUGCGGACUGCCGGUGCCUUUACUGAAGUCCCACAAUGGUGCAGAGGAGGUACUGAGUAUGAAUAAGUCGUCAGCGUAGAGACAGUGAUAUUGGCCAGAAAAUGAGUUUACUAUUUUACCUAUUUCGAAAAAAGCUAUUUGGAAAAGAAGAACCCAUAAUGGUGAUCCCUGAGCUAUUCCGUUGCUCAAUGGAAACUGGAGAGAAAAGCAAUUAUUAAGAAUUGGAUAUAUUCAUACACAUUAAAAAAAAAGUUACCCAAUGGUUGAGUUAAAAUAAACGACGCUUAAGACAUUUUUAUCC